CCUACGGGAGGCAGCAGUAGGGAAUAUUGCUCAAUGGGGGAAACCCUGAAGCAGCAACGCCGCGUGAAGGAUGAAGGUUUUCGGAAUGUAAACCCCUUUUUGUAGAGAAGAAAAUGACGGUACCUGACGAAUAAGCACCGGCUAACUCCGUGCCAGCAGCCGCGGUAAUACGGAGGGGGCAAGCGUUACUCGGAAUCACUGGGCGUAAAGGGCGCGUAGGCGGGAUAGCAAGUCAGAUGUGAAAUCCUAUGGCUUAACCAUAGAACUGCAUUUGAAACUGUUCUGCUAGAGUGUGGGAGAGGUAGGCGGAAUUCUUGGUGUAGCGGUGAAAUGCGUAGAGAUCAGGAGGAACAC
rnacentral:rRNA from 1 species